GAAUGCUCGAUGGGGUUUAUGUCUUGACAUUGCAAGCUGAGCUUUUCUGGUGUCAUACUUCCAACAUUACAACGUGUGACCAGACUGGCGCGAGGCUCGUAUGAGUGUGGGGAGAUUUCCUGUCGGCACGGUGCAGUGCCGUGUACAGUGAGUCUGCGCUGCAUCACAAUGCAGUGAGGCGAAUGGGUGGAGAGAACUUCGGAGGGAUUUGUAAUCUGCUCAAGCAUGCAGACGGAGUGAUGUCACAUGCUGCAGUCCCACCUGGAGGCGCACGGAUCAUCAUCAAGCCAAAUACCCCCGAUAACCUCCUUAAAAUGUCUUUAUUUAUGUCUGAUUUGUGCACUCGAGCCAGAUGUGGCGCUAAAGCCGCAAUGUGACGCGUAGGUCAUAACAGCUACGUCUUCAUUGGUAAGCGGAACAGAAAAUGGGGAAACUCAUGCAGUUUGAUUCAAUUUCUACUUCGCUUUUUUUCACUUCCUCUCCUUUGCUCUUUGUUUUGAUGCCGUCCGUUAUGGUUGUAGCGCGUCACUCAUGACCACAGAAUUUCUGAGGAACUGCGAUAAGGGCAGACAGUUGCGAGUGAGUGAAAGGUGGUAACCUGGCUGUUACAUAAAUGUUAUGACAAAGCUGAUUUGACGGGCCUCGGGCCGCCACGGUUUCAAAACAUUUUAA